rnacentral:rRNA from 1 species
UACGUAGGGUGCGAGCGUUGUCCGGAAUUAUUGGGCGUAAAGGGCUCGUAGGCGGUCUGUUGCGUCGGGAGUGAAAACUCAGGGCUUAACCCUGAGCCUGCUUCCGAUACGGGCAGACUAGAGGUAUGCAGGGGAGAACGGAAUUCCUGGUGUAGAGGUGAAAUGCGCAGAUAUCAGGAGGAACACCGGUGGCGAAGGCAGUUCUCUGGGCAUUACCUGACGCUGAGGAGCGAAAGUGUGGGGAGCGAACAGG